UUCCCUGUAGCUCAGUUGGUAGAGCAUGGCGUUUGCAACGCAUGAUGUUUGUAACGCCAGGGUUGUGGGUUCGAUUCCCAUGGGGGGGG
rnacentral:tRNA from 1 species